GUCGAACGGGGUUUAUAUAACAGAACUCUCCGGAGGGAAGAUAUAUAAACCUAGUGGCGGACGGGUGAGUAACGCGUGGGCAACCUGCCCUGUACCGGGGGACAACAGCCAGAAAUGGCUGCUAAUACCGCAUAAGCCUGCUGUGCCGCAUGGCACAGCAGGGAAAACCACGGUGGUACAGGAUGGGCCCGCGUCUGAUUAGUUAGUUGGCAGGGUAACGGCCUACCAAGACAACGAUCAGUAGCCGGCUUGAGAGAGUGGACGGCCACAUUGGGACUGAGACACGGCCCAGACUCCUGCGGGAGGCAGCAGUGGGGAAUAUUGCACAAUGGGGGGAACCCUGAUGCAGCAAUGCCGCGUGGGUGAAGAAGCACUCCGGUGCGUAAAGCCCUGUCAGCAGGGAAGAAAAUGACAGUACCUGGACAAGAAGCCCCGGCUAACUACGUGCCAGCAGCCGCGGUAAUACGUAGGGGGCAAGCGUUAUCCGGAUUUACUGGGUGUAAAGGGAGCGCAGGCGGCGUGGCAAGUCAGAUGUGAAAACCCGGGGCCCAACCCCGGGAGUGCAUUUGAAACUGCCAUGCUGGAGUGCCGGAGAGGUAAGCGGAAUUCCUAGUGUAGCGGUGAAAUGCGUAGAUAUUAGGAGGAACACCAGUGGCGGAGGCGGCUUACUGGACGGUAACUGACGCUGAGGCUCGAAAGCGUGGGGAGCAAACAGG
rnacentral:rRNA from 1 species